rnacentral:rRNA from 1 species
CGUGCACAACACAUUCAAGUCGAACGGAGUUGUUUUUAUUAAUCCUUCGGGAAGCGUAGGAGCAACUUAGUGGCGGACGGGUGAGUAACGCGUGAGCAACCUGCCUCUGUAUGUGGGAUAACGUCGGGAAACUGACGCUAAUACCGCAUGAAGCAUAACCACCGCAUGAUGGAUGUGCCGAAGAUUUAUUGUACAGAGAUGGGCUCGCGUCUGAUUAGGUAGUUGGUGAGGUAACGGCUCACCAAGCCGACGAUCAGUAGCCGGACUGAGAGGUUGAACGGCCACAUUGGAACUGAGAUACGGUCCAGACUCCUACGGGAGGCAGCAGUGGGGAAUAUUGGGCAAUGGGCGAAAGCCUGACCCAGCGACGCCGCGUGAGGGAAGAAGGUCUUCGGAUUGUAAACCUUUGUUGAUAGGGAAGAAGAAAGUGACGGUACCUAUCGAGGAAGCCACGGCUAACUACGAGCCAGCCGCCGCAGUAAAAC